rnacentral:rRNA from 1 species
UACGUAGGGUGCGAGCGUUAAUCGGAAUUACUGGGCGUAAAGUGUGCGCAGGCGGCCGCGCAAGUCGAGUGUGAAAUCCCCGAGCUUAACUUGGGAAUUGCGCUCGAAACUACGUGGCUGGAGUGUGGCAGAGGAAGGUGGAAUUCCACGUGUAGCGGUGAAAUGCGUAGAGAUGUGGAGGAACACCGAUGGCGAAGGCAGCCUUUUGGGCCAACACUGACGCUCAUGCACGAAAGCGUGGGGAGCAAACAGG